UUGAAUUGAGAUUUGAGAAUUCUGUUCCAUUUUUAUUAUCUUAAGAAGAAGUUUCUUCUCCUUAGAGGGUAUUUUGUUAGUUUGAUUGUAGUAUUCUCAAUAUUAUAAUUGUGAUCCCUUAAUUAUUUCAAUACCAUGUAGAGUAUAAACGAUAGAUCGAUGUGAUUACUCUCAAGUUUUUCAAUAUUGAUUAUCCUACGAGGCAUUAGAUGCCCAGAGGACAACUGUGGACUUGAAUGAGGCACCCUUCAAAAUUCAAGAGGAGCAUCUAAAUAGGCUGAAAGCACUUUCCAGAACAGUGGAGCUAGGAAAACGGUUUUCCCCACAAUAUGAACAAGAUUAUGGAUGCGGAUGACUUAAUGCAGCUCGCCUAUUUUGGGAACGACACUCUGGAGGAACGACUCCUGAAGCGAACAAGAUACAUGGAGCUUCAAGAAGUUUUAUUUCGGGCAUUCAAUGAACAUGAGGAGUUUGAUAGGUCUGCUAUAUCAUCUUCAUCCUUAUCAAAAUCUGUAAAUUUGUUGAGCCAUAUUGCCAGUAAUGGUCAUUCAUAGCCAUGCUUGGGCCUGAUGCUGUCUUCUUGAAUCAUAUAGUUUCAACUUUCUUC